rnacentral:rRNA from 1 species
UACGAAGGGGGCUAGCGUUGCUCGGAAUUACUGGGCGUAAAGCGCACGUAGGCGGUUUCUUAAGUCGGGGGUGAAAUCCUGGAGCUCAACUCCAGAACUGCCUUCGAUACUGGGAAACUUGAGUUCGGGAGAGGUGAGUGGAACUGCGAGUGUAGAGGUGAAAUUCGUAGAUAUUCGCAAGAACACCAGUGGCGAAGGCGGCUCACUGGCCCGAUACUGACGCUGAGGCACGAAAGCGUGGGGAGCAAACAGG